rnacentral:lncRNA from 12 species
UAAAUAGUCAUUUGCAAAAUACUGUUCCAAUCAACAGAAUUGUUUCCUUCAGAAGAACUGUCGGAUGCUCCCCAUACUCCGUCCUGGUACAGCCUGGAAAUUGUUCUUCCUAACUGUGGGACAUGGAGCUGUUCAAACGCUUCAUGGAGUCUGCUGUGCCCUUAAAAAUCCUGAGUGUCGUAGUGGAAUAAUCAGGCUCAGAUUUAAUGUCACAAAUUCUCCAAGGCCUUGUGCAGGUCUAAAGAGGCGUUGAUUGGAGUGGAGGGUAUGAAACUGCACACUGAUCUCUUUGAACACAGGCACCUCAUGGUGGAAAGGCAGCUGUCCAAUUUCGUCAUUGACACAGAUGUUGAAUUCCUGAAUCUUGGUGGACAAUGGGGGAAUAUUUUCAAUCAGGCACAGAAAUGGUGAGUCACAAAAUGGGUUUCCAAUCUGGUUUGAUCUGCUUCUUAAGUAGUAGAAUUUCCUUAAGAUUCUGAUAAGAGUUUGAUUGCAAAUCACAGUUUUCUUAUUGCUGUGAUGUUUCAUCUUCUGGGUCUUCAUAGGUAUUUUUGUGGGAAGGUGGUGUGUCCAGAGCUAUUAUCCAGG